rnacentral:rRNA from 1 species
AACGCGAAGAACCUUACCCAGGCUCGAAAUGUAAGUGGCGAUACCAGAGAUGGUAUUUUCCGCAAGGACGCUUAUAUAGGUGCUGCAUGGCUGUCGUCAGCUCGUGCCGUGAGGUGUUUGGUUAAGUCCAGCAACGAGCGCAACCCUUAUCAUUAGUUGCCAACAUUUAAGGUGGGGAUGACGUCAAGUCAUCAUGCCCCUUAUGUCCAGGGCUUCACACAUGCUACAAUGGCCGGUACAAAGGGCUGCGAUGCCGUGAGGUUAAGCGAAUCCUUUAAAGCCGGUCUCAGUUCGGAUCGGGGUCUGCAACUCGACCCCGUGAAGUCGGAGUCGCUAGUAAUCGCAGAUCAGCAACGCUGCGGUGAAUACGUUCCCGGGCCUUGUACACACCGAGACGAC